rnacentral:rRNA from 1 species
GACAGAGGGUGCAAACGUUGCUCGGAAUUACUGGGCGUAAAGCGCGUGUAGGCGGGAAGAUAAGUCGGGUGCGAAAUCCCUGGGCUCAACCUAGGAACUGCAUUCGAAACUGUCUUUCUGGAGUGAUGGAGAGGAAAGCGGAAUUCCUGGUGUAGAGGUGAAAUUCGUAGAUAUCAGGAGGAACACCGGUGGCGAAGGCGGCUUCCUGGACACUAACUGACGCUGAGACGCGAAAGCGUGGGGAGCAAACAGG